AAGGUCAGAAAUUAUAAUUCACACUGCUUCAGUUUAUAGUAAUUAGUAAAGCUUUCAUUCCUUAAAACACAAGCAGGGACCCUCGAGCCUAUGGACCAAGUUAGGAUUGGUACAGGCCCCAAUUUGGCCUAUGAGGCCAUUUUUUCCAAACUGCUCACCUGCCCUACAGCUGAUGUCAUUGAUAUGUGACUUCAGGUGUGAGGUAGGUAGAGACAUGGAUGCAAAGGAACAAAUAGGAACCUCUUGAUUGUUCCCUGCCCAAAAUGGGAACUCCAGUACAGCUGCUCCCACCAGGGCUUGCUGUCAGCACAAAUAUAUGUUUUUAUUUAUAAUAAAAAUAUUAUAAUCCUCAGUUCAGUAAAAAGAUCUCCAUGUGCUUUAUGUAAACCCAGCAAAAAUGCAAACAAAUCAUUUAAUAUUUUCCCUAAAAACUAGAUUAAAACAAAGCGCAAAUCACAAAUAAAACAGAGAAUUUUCAUUUGCCCAAACAAGGCUUGAAUAUGCCAAACUAAGCUCUCAGUAUGACAGCCCUGAAUCUGUUUGUGUUUACCUAUUAUUUAUACAGUAACUGUAAUUAGAAAAAACGUGCUAUAGGUUUUUCUCAAAAGAAAGCUGUAUGGCAGGUCAUUACGGCUGCAAUUCUAUAGUCACACAUGAAUUUGAGUCCCCUUAAAGUCAGUGGGACUUACUUCUGGGUAGACAGGUACAGGAUUGUACUGAAAUAUCCACAUUUUACAUACUAGGGAACUGUGAGCGUUACUUGUGCAAAGCUGAGCAGAGAUUUGAAUGACUAGGUCACCUAUGUUCUCAUUAUUCUUUUGGCUGGUUCCCAUAUUCCCUUGUACUUUUAUUUUUACGGACAUGACAUUUUGCCAAGUACAAAGCAUCAGACAAAAUGUUCUGAAUGCAUUCCGUCUAUAGUAAGAAAGCCCUGUGUUUCCCUCACAUUCUGUCUACAUGCUUGAUUCCCUAGUGGCUAGAGAACAGUUUCUCUCUCUCUCUGUCUCAUGACAUUAGAACUCAUAGAUAUUUAGUGAAACUGAAUGUUCGAAUAUUCAGGAUAGAUAAAAGAAAAUACGGUACUUAUUCAGGCAGUGUAGUCAAACUGUGGAUGGCCACAAACCUGGAUGACUUUAAAACAGGAUUAGACAAAUUUGUGGAGGAGGGGGUUAUCAAUACCUAACACGAUUCAGAGCGGGUCCCUUCCUUGCCCCCAUGACACCCUUUGAUUCUCAGUGCAACCAUCAAGUAAGGUUGGCUUGAUCCCCGCUCUGCCUUGUUCCUGAUGCAAAUCUUCACUUAUCCCUUCUUCGCUGGGGAAGGCACCAUAUUGUGGUUCGCCUCAGGUGCCAAAAUGUAUUGGGCCAGUGCUGGGACCAACACUAAGAGUAUAUUGCAUUGACAAUGCCAUAUAUUGCAAUGGGCUGAUUCCAUGUGCAUGUUCAUUAUGAUUGAUGCAUCCUUUAUCAAAUUCCACAGAAAUGCAAUCGCUCUUUAACAGAUUUCUAACUGAGUCAGCUCAUAUGCCCAUCAUCAGAUAACCAAGGAAAGGAAGGGAUAAAAAAUUAGCAGCUCCAACCUAACCAUGUCUACUCAGAAGUCCGAUUGAAUUCAGUGGAGCUUACUCCAAGGUAAAUUGAGUUAGGGUUGCAGCCAGAGCUGUAAUCCAAAACAUAUGUGGUAUAUGGGCAUGUCUGAAUUGAUCCUGUCAUGUCCAGAUGAUAAAACCGUGUUUUGAGAAAUAAAGCAAGUAUUUCCUUCAAUAUAUAAGCAAAUUAUGAGUGUGCUCAGUGUGCAAACAUGCUUGUUUAUUUUUCCCAUCUGUUAUGUACUACUCAGCGGUAUUUUGUUUCACAGAAUAAUUGCUGCCCUUAAAUCAAACAUUACUGAUUUUAUUAAGAAACCUGCCUGAUUAAUCAGACUGAGGCUUUGAACAAAGGAAUUUCCCAUGCACAGAAUUGCUAAUGGCAAAUAAUGGAGGGAAGGAAGAAAAAACUCAGCAACCACCUGGUUUAAUCCUGCUCCGAUUUGUCAAGAGAACAAAGCUGCCUGCAGGACUGCGCUUGAAAACCACGAGGACGUUUAGCGCCCUCUGUGAAUCUGUCUCAGUGGAAAAAAUGAAGCUGAUGUCUGCACAACUAAAACGAAACCUCACCAGACAAAAGAUCCUGCUCAAGUAUAUAUGCAGGCUUUCCUUUCCUGAUAAAGACAAAUACAACAAUUGUAAGCAACUCUGAAAAGUUCUUGGGACAAUUUCCAUCACACACACACAAAACACUUUUGUGCACAGAUGUAGCAGCAUAGCAUAUGACAGAAGAAAACCGGCUUGUGAGGAACAUGACAAAGCAGGGGUAGAUGCCCUCUAGAUUUUGGUAGAUUACAGUUUCUGUUAUCUGGUGUUGGUGGGAGUUCUGUCCCAACAACAUAUGGAAAUCACCACAUUGGCUACCCGUGAUCUUAGGGAAGACAGGAUAGGAAAGGGAUACCCCAUCUCAUCUGACAACCCCACUACGAUUCCAAUCCAAUCCAACAGGAAAGGCCAGGUAGCUCCAAACCUAGUUUAUCCUUGCCAAACAUGAGAGCAUAAAUAGGAACUAGCAGCUGUCAGAAGCAGAAAGAUUCCGGAUUUCGGUGGGUUGAUGAAUCAGGUUGCCAUAAAGCUUCAUAUAUGCUUUGUGAAGUUUUACCUGAAAGUACUAAAGGCACGUACAGGUAUUGAGCAGUUUGCAAGGGCUGAUCAUAUUUAAUAAGUUCUGAUGGAUUUUGACAUUAAAAGACCUGGCGUUUUAAUAAAGUGCGGUGCAGCGAACAUAGGAGAAAUGUCUGCUGUUAUAAACCUCAACACAUCUUUCCCUGCUUUACUGUUUUUAGCUUCAAGCAUGCAAUUUCUUCUAACACCUUGCCACCCCUACCCUUCAAGUCUGAGCAAUUUGUUCCAAGAAAUCGCAACACAGAAUUUAUCUUGCACCUGCCUUGCCCUUCACCUGUCCAGCCUGCUCUUUUACCUCCAGCGUGCCCAUUACUGCAUCUCCAGCCCCAGGCUCUAAUUCCUGUUUACUUGAUCCCGAUACCUGACUCCCAGCCCACGCACAGCCACAAGUCCUGCCUCUGGGUCAGUGUUAGAAACUGAGAUAUGAAAGCUAGGAGCUAAAUGGCACUUUAAACCUAAGUUAUGGGUGCAACAACGGAAUGUCUAGGCACACUUUUGUUUAUAACAAUAAAACAAAGCUGAAAAUGAAUAAACUGCAGCUAAAAUAUUUUGUUCGUUUUUCACAUGGUCCAGUCCUUCCCCUGCCCACCCACCUCCCAUAUAUUCUUAAGUGGGUCUCUUCUCCAGUCUUCAGCUGGACGUGGGAAGGCAGAAAAAGGCCCUCCUUUCCUCCCACUCUGCAGUUUUAAUCUGAAAUCUUAGGUGCCCAGAGCUCAGAAAUGGCUCGCGCUAAUGUACAGUGGUACCUCGGGUUACAUACGCUUCAGGUUACACACUCCGCUAACUCAGAAAUACUGCUUCAGGUUAAGAACUAUGCUUCAGGAUAAGAACAGUAAUCGGGCUACGGCGGCACGGCAACAGCAGCAGGAGGCCCCAUUAGCUAAAGUGGUGCUUCAGGUUAAGAACAGUUUCAGGUUAAGAACAGACCUCCGGAACGAAUUAAGUCCUUAACCAGAGGUACCAGUGUAAUUCCUUGUCGUAAAAUGCACCUAAAACAAUGAGAGUUUUGAACACUGCUCUGGACUGCAGGUCCUCCCCCCAGCUUCUUGCUCACAAAACAGCAAACUCUGCCCUCAAACGAUCUAAGAGAGAGAAGGGGUGCCACCCAUUUGUCAUCUGGUACGGAGCCCCCUUUUUCUUGGUGCUCUUAAUGGUCCACCCUGCUAGACAAUCCACUUGUUAGGAUUAUAGGCAUUAGAAACCUGGCACCCACAAACCCGUAAUAGUAUUAACGAAUGUUGCUAGUGUGCACAAUGCUGCAACCAUUGCAAUUUGUUAUUUAUUGGCAGAACAAACAUGGAAUGUAUGUUCCAGCCACAGUUAAGCCCAUUAUUUCAAUCAUCAUCUUCGUUCUUUUAAUUUGUUGAUGUAUUUCUUUCUUUCUUUCAUGACCUUGCCCCCCCCCCCCAUGACAUACAAAUGACUUAAAUAAAUAAAAAUAAAAAUUAUCAGGACUUCUACAGGUUUCGGGUGUGGCUCAUGGUGGCCCCAAAGGCCCCAUACCACACAAAUUAUUGGAAAAUCUUCAGGGGCAGCAGGAAGCUGCUGACCCACCAACAGACUUCCUGUUGUAUGUGUUUACUUCAUUGGGCAGAGAGAUUAUAUUGCCAGGCACUCAAAUACAAGAGUGGCUU
rnacentral:lncRNA from 1 species